rnacentral:rRNA from 1 species
UACGUAGGGGGCAAGCGUUCCUCGGAUUCACUGGGCGUAAAGCGCGUGUAGGCGGCUGGUCAAGCGUGGUGUGAAAUCUCCGGGCUCAACCCGGAAACUGCACCGCGAACUGGCCUGGCUGGAGUGCAGGAGAGGGAAGGGGAAUUCCCGGUGUAGCGGUGAAAUGCGUAGAGAUGUGGAGGAACACCGAUGGCGAAGGCAGCCCCCUGGGUCAAGAUUGACGCUCAUGCACGAAAGCGUGGGGAGCAAACAGG